AAUGAACGCUGGCGGCAGGCCUAAAACAUGCAAGUCGAACGCCCUAGCAAUAGGGAGUGGCGCACGGGCGAGUAACAUGUGGGAAUAUGCCCUUUGGUACGGAACAACGUUUGGAAACGAACGCUAAUACCGUAUGGUCCCUCCGGGGUAAAGAUUUAUCGCCAAAAGAUUAGCCCGCACUAGAUUAGCUAGUUGGUAAGGUAAUGGCUUACCAAGGCGACGAUCUAUAGCUGUUCUGAGAGGAAGAUCAGCCACACUGGGACUGAGACACGGCCCAGACUCCUACGGGAGGCAGCAGUUAGGAAUAUUGGACAAUGGGCGCAAGCCUGAUCCAGCCAUGCCGCGUGAGUGAUGAAGGCCUUCGGGUUGUAAAGCUCUUUAGCCGACGAAUAUAAUGACUGUAGUCGGAGAAUAAGCCCCGGCUAACUUCGUGCCAGCCGCCGCGGUAAUAC
rnacentral:rRNA from 1 species